GAGUAACACGUGGGCAACCUACCCUAUAGUUUGGGAUAACUCCGGGAAACCGGGGCUAAUACCGAAUAAUCUCUUUUGCUUCAUGGCAAAAGACUGAAAGACGGUUUCGGCUGUCGCUAUAGGAUGGGCCCGCGGCGCAUUAUCUAGUUGGUGAGGUAACGGCUCACCAAGGCGACGAUGCGUAGCCGACCUGAGAGGGUGAUCGGCCACACUGGGACUGAGACACGGCCCAUACUCCUACGGGAGGCAGCAGUGGGGAAUCUUCCACAAUGGGCGAAAGCCUGAUGGAGCAACGCCGCGUGAGUGAAGAAGGUUUUCGGAUCGUAAAACUCUGUUGUAAGGGAAGAACAAGUACAGUAGUAACUGGCUGUACCUUGACGGUACCUUAUUAAAAAGCCACGGCUAACUACGUGCCAGCAGCCGCGGUAAUACGUAGGUGGCAAGCGUUGUCCGGAAUUAUUGGGCGUAAAGCGCGCGCAGGCGGUCCUUUAAGUCUGAUGUGAAAGCCCCACGGCUCAACCC
rnacentral:rRNA from 1 species